rnacentral:scRNA from 1 species
CAGUCGAUACUCACCGAUAUCUCGUCAAUAAC